rnacentral:rRNA from 1 species
UACGAAGGGGGGCUAGCGUUGUUCGGAAUUACUGGGCGUAAAGGGCGCGUAGGCGGUGUGUCAAGUCAGGCGUGAAAGCCCCGGGCUCAACCUGGGAACCGCGCUUGAGACUGGCAUGCUCGAGUUCGGGAGAGGAUGGUGGAAUUCCCAGUGUAGAGGUGAAAUUCGUAGAUAUUGGGAAGAACACCAAUGGCGAAGGCAGCUCGCUGGGACGUUACUGACGCUGAGACGCGAAAGCGUGGGGAGCAAACAGG